rnacentral:lncRNA from 1 species
AGGAUCCUCUUCCUCCUGGAUGUAGGAGGAGCUCAAGUGCUGGCAACAGGCAAGACCCCUGGGGCUGAAAUUGAUUUCAAGUACGCCCUCAUCGGGACUGCUGUGGGUGUCGCCAUAUCUGCUGGCUUCCUGGCCCUGAAGAUCUGCAUGAUCAGGAGGCACUUAUUUGACGACGACUCUUCCGACCUGAAAAGCACGCCUGGGGGCCUCAGUGGCGAAACCACAAUUUCUCCAAAAGCAUCUGGCCAGAUCUGUGCAAAUUCACCAACUACAGAAAGUGAAAAGUUUCCCAAAAUAUGCCUAUUAACCUCGAGGAAUGACUUCUCUUUUUGUCAUCAAAGUGGAUGAAGUUUUGUUUGCCUUGGGUUUGGCAGGCAGAAAACAACUUCCAGGUUGAGCUCUCCCCUUUACCCAGAAGCCACUGGCCUUCAGUUCCUUUCUAUGUUGCACAAGGAAGUGGCCCACCUUGCAGGCUUUGCUGAUGAGCUUUUAUACCUGUUUAAUUGUGUGAAUUGCAUAAACACAUGCAAUCAUUAGAGUAUAGUUGCUCUCUCAAUAAGUCUUCCAGAUGGUUCUCUUCCUUUCCAGAGAUGCACAGGUGAUUGAGCUGUAGGUGAGCAGUGACGUGAAGAGGGGUUCUAGCCCCGUGGAAAACAGCCCAUGGUUAACAUCUCAGGAUGUUCUGCAUUCAAACACCCAAGGCUGGUAAUGAACUUUCACAUGGACUGAA